rnacentral:rRNA from 1 species
GAUGAACGCUGGCGGCGUGCCUAAUACAUGCAAGUCGAGCGAAUGGAUUAAGAGCUUGCUCUUAUGAAGUUAGCGGCGGACGGGUGAGUAACACGUGGGUAACCUGCCCAUAAGACUAGGAUAACUCCGGGAAACCGGGGCUAAUACCGGAUAACAUUUUGAACCGCAUGGUUCGAAAUUGAAAGGCGGCUUCGGCUGUCACUUAUGGAUGGACCCGCGUCGCAUUAGCUAGUUGGUGAGGUAACGGCUCACCAAGGCAACGAUGCGUAGCCGACCGGAGAGGGUGAGCGGCCACACUGGGACUGAGACACGGCCCAGACUCCUACGGGAGGUAGCAGUAGGGAAUCUUCCGCAAUGGACGAAAGUCUGACGGAGCAACGCCGCGUGAGUGAUGAAGGCUUUCGGGUCGUAAAACUCUGUUGUUAGGGAAGAACAAGUGCUAGUUGAAUAAGCUGGCACCUUGACGGUACCUAACCAGAAAGCCACGGCUAACUACGUGCCAGCCGCCGCAGUAA